rnacentral:lncRNA from 1 species
UCAAAAACAAAAAGCACACUUUACCAGCUCCUAACUAGACUGGGGCCUCUAAGGGUGCAUUUUUACUAUAGAUAUAUGUAUAUAUGUGGGCUGUGAUAUAUGUGGGCUGUGAAUGGUUUAAUUUGUGGAUAAGGAAUCUGUAGAUACAGAGGGCUGACUGUACAGAGUAACAGAGUCAUUGGCUUGAGAAAGACCUCAAAUAUUGCUUCCUCCAGCUCAUCGCUGAUGUAGGAAACCCUCAGCUACAGCAUUCCUGACAGAUGGCCAUCAAUCUCCGCUUCUAAACCUCCAGCGCAGGAGAGCCCACCACCUUCUGAGGCAGGCUGUUCAUCUGUCAAAUGGCUUUUACCCUCAAGAAGUUCUUCCGAAGCUUUAGCUGGAAUCUCCUUGCUGCUCAUUUCAACCUGCUGGGUUAGAUCCUUGGUUUCUUUAGAACAAGAGCAGCAACCACCAUAAAGGAUUUCACUGUCUCCAGCCCUUCAAAUACUUGAAAAUGGCUAUUACAUCCAACAAGAACCACUGUGGUCUGAUGGUUUGAGGAAUAACCUCAGAUUAUCAGGUUCAAAUUCCUAUUUAGCCAUGAAAGCCCUUGCACUUGUCACACUUUCCUGGCCAAAGAGGGAUGUAAUGUCAAACCUAUGAGAGCCUUGCAAUAGGUCAGUGCCAACAUGAAGUACAUACCAUACCGUGUUUCCCCGAAAAUAAGACAGUGUCUUAUAUUAAUUUUUGCUCCCAAAGAUGCGCUAGGUCUUAUUUUCAGGGGAAGUCUUAUUUUAGGGGAAACAGGGUAUAUACUCGAGUAUAAGCCGACCCGAAUAUAAACCGGGGCACCUAAUUUUAUCACAAAAAACUGGGAUAACUUAUUGACUUGAGUAUAAGCCGAGGGUGGGAAGACUUGGAUUGUAUUUUCCUGCAUGGUCAAAGAAGAUUGGACUGAUCGGCCCUUAUGGUCUUGUCAACUCUAUGAUUCAAUUUCUACUAAAAUAAAGGCCAUGGUGCUUGGUAUUCAUUGUUGGUUCUUAUCCAAGGAUUAACCAGAGUUGUCUCUGCUUAGAUUGCAAGAUCAGGUGACUUAUGGAUAUGUUGCUGCUGCUCAGUCGUUUAGUCAU